GGCGCCUGUGUGUCUUCGCCCCUCCGAGCUGGAAAUGCAACUGUUGGGAGCUUCGGAGGCUGGGGAGCUGGACGCGGAGGCGGCUGGGGAAGUCCGAGCGAUGUGACCAGGCCGCCGUCGCUCGUCUCUUCCUCUCGCCUGCCGCUUCCUGUCGUGAAAAUAACUUUUUUACUAUAAAGGAGAAAAAAAAAAGUAGCUGUCCGCCCCUCCCGCCCUUUCUUCUUCUCAGCCCUCUGACCUGCGAGGGAGCCCGGGGUGGCCGCUCCGCCGUCGGGGCCGCGCCGCCGAGCCCCGGCCGCCCCGGGCCGCCCCCGCCCGCCGCCCCCAUGCAUCCCUUCUACAGCCGGGCCGCCACCAUGAUAGGCGAGAUCGCCGCUGCCGUGUCCUUCAUCUCCAAGUUCCUCCGCACCAAGGGGCUCACGAGCGAGCGACAGCUGCAGACCUUCAGCCAGAGCCUGCAGGAGCUGCUGGCAGAACAUUAUAAACAUCACUGGUUCCCAGAAAAGCCGUGCAAGGGAUCAGGUUACCGUUGUAUUCGCAUCAACCAUAAAAUGGAUCCUCUGAUUGGACAGGCAGCACAGCGGAUUGGACUGAGCAGUCAGGAGCUGUUCAGGCUUCUCCCAAGUGAACUCACACUCUGGGUUGACCCCUACGAAGUGUCCUACAGAAUCGGAGAGGAUGGCUCCAUCUGCGUGCUGUAUGAAGCCUCACCAGCAGGAGUCAAAACAUGGACACAUUCCCAGGCUAAUCUCAUGAAAUGAGGAUAAGAGACAAAGGUAACAUCUACCAAACAAAGUGAUACUCAGAAUUUGCAUGUCAUUGCUUCCCCGUUGAAGUGAAGAUCGUUGGGUCCAUUCUGGCCCACCUUUGAGAAACAAUUACUUUGCCCCAUGGAAUUCUUGUUCAAUUAGAAAAUCCUGGGGCAGAUGACCCAUAGUCUUAAAGAACAGACUAAUAAUCACUGCAGGGAUUGGUUGCUUUUUGCUUUUCAUCAGCUGCAAGAUUUACAUAAAAAUCACUUAAGCUGGAAUUCAACAAAAGUGUGUUCUUUGAGAAAGUCUCCCAGUUUUUCAGAUUUGAACGUGCAGUAAAACAACUGGUAGUAGAGUCUUUACCCCGGUCUCACCCCAGUUCUGAUGACGGGUGUUUGCCAACUGCGUCGCAUCUGGUAACUCCUUUGAAGCCAGGCAUAGGGACUUCGAUUGUUCAGUCCCAUUUCAGUCUGCACCUGAACUUUUGUACAUGGCUUCUGUUAAAAUACGGUAAUCCUUUAUUUUUCAUGUUUGGAACAUAAUAACAGUAUGAAAAACUUUUGUAGUAAAAUAGUUUGUACUACUAACCAAACUAAGCUGCUUAACUGAAUCCUGAAGUCAUUUAUAUUAAUGCAGAUAGGCCAGAGGAAUUUAUAUGUGAUGAGUUACAGUUUCUGGCUAUUUCCAUAAAUCUUGAGAUAUAUAUAUAUAUUUCUUUUUUCUGAGAAAAGCAUAAAGUGAAGAAACAUUAAACCAGAUGUUACAUUAUGUAGCUUUACGGUGCUCCUAAGCAAGUAAGCCUUAGGUUGUAUCAAGAGUGAGGACUGACACCAUUUCCUCAACAAUUAAUUUGUGGACCAGUCUUUUGACCGCAGUUUUACCUUAGCUAGCUCGUUUCUUUUGGUAUUGUUCAAUGUGUCAAAUGAUAGAAAAAUAAUAAGGCUUCCCAUUUAAUUUCCAGUUAAGGAUUUUCAAUUUUUGUAAGUGUUUUCUGUCAUUUCGCAGUUGAAUAAUCUCACAAGGAAUAUUUUGGAGUUCAGCUUCUGACUUUUAUAGGAGCCUUUUCAUGAUAAUUUAUCAUUUUAAUGUUGAAUAUCUAGAGGUUUGUGCAGCAAAGUCAUUUGGCAGAGAGUUUGGGAAAAGAAAUACUAUUAUUGUAAGGAUUCUGUAAUUCAUGAAUCUGGGACAAAGUCUGCACUGUUUGUGAAUAUGCAGGUCAAAGUGGUAGUAAGGUUUAUGGCCCAUGCUAAGUGGAAACUGGGCUUGGGGGAGGAAUGGAUGGGAAGCAAAAAGAAACCAUGCUCCUAAAGGCAUUUUUAAAGAAAUUCAAAUAUAAUGCUUAAUGUCUAUGUAUUUUAUAAAGGGAAAAUAUUUUUUAAGCUGUUAUAAACUACUUGAUUAUUAGCCUCUUUCCUUGUACCUUUAAGUUGUGAAGGCCAUUUGUGACCCCACUCCUGAAGACAGAAGGGUGAUUAAGUGUCGGCCAGACUCCUAACAUCACGAUAGAGACCACCAGGCAGGAAACAACGGUGGAGUUUACUGCAUUCCUGUCUUUGGAGACUAUCACAUCAAACUAAUUAUUGUUUCAAAUCCUAACAGAAGACAUGGUCAUUUCUGGGGGCUUCCAGCCUAGUGGCGGCAGAAGUUACCAAACGUAUAGAAAACCUGGGCCUGAUACGCACUAAGGGAAGGAAGUGGUGAAUGGGGUGUCCUAAGAGCUGUGAUGGACACGGCGAUAUCUUACAGAUGCCUCCCAGAGGAAGGAACACGAGCUGCAUCUGUAGGUCAUUCUCCAGGUGAGGUUGCAGAGAAAGGCAAGCAAUGAGGAACAGAGAGGACAGAUGAAGUCUUCAGGACAAGCAGAAAGACUGCAGAGGCAUCUGUGUUCACUUAGACACCCAAAGAAAGCCUGAGGGGCAGGAGAGCAGGGUUUAGACACAGGCCUGGAGUCUGAGAUUUCCUGCUGGAAUCUGGCCCAAACACCGCCGCCCGUGCCAAGAGGCGAUGCACUUUAUCCUCUCCCAGUUCCAUUUUCUUUGCCUGUAAGAUGAGGUGAUGAUACGUCCAAUCUUCAACUCCAACAUUCAACCUCUGAAAAUGGGUUUUUGAUGACUUCUCAAUGCCUUCUGACUCCAUUCUUUCAUUUGAGGGAAAAUAGCAUUUAUCUUUCUCUCUCUAGCACUAGAAUAUACUUCUCCUCCGAUCACGGGGGAACCAGAGAGCUGUUCCUGGUGAAGCUGCCUUUCUCCACAAGUGGUGAUUAAUGGCCAAAAGAUGCUCAACGUGAAUCAGCAAUUCAGGAAAGCUCUCAGGACAUUUGCUCAGGGGCCGGGUGCUAAGGACUUCUCAACAGGGACAACUUAGUGCGGGAGAUGGAAAAUGAGCACAUUUGACAUAAAACCUUUGUUGUCAGUGUGGGAUGAUUUGCGGGGAAUAUGGUGGUCUUUUCUUUGCUGUUUUCCCCCUUCUAAGGCCUGUCGUCUACAGCAGGUAAAAUUAUUUUUCCAACACAUAAACUCAGGAUGUUGAGUGUGAGGAGGAAGAAAUGGGUCUAGGCUGGGAGAGUUUGAUUGAAAGAAAAAAAUAAAAACUUUUCUCCCAUUGUGAUAAGACAAUCAUAAAACAUCCCUCUAUUGUAAGAAAUCUUGAUGUUUAGUUAAAAAAAAAAAAAAAAGCUAGCAGCAAGCGGUGGAUUCAUUUUACCUGCCUGUGCCAGUUUCCCAAACUCUGGCUGAAUGGAGACUAUGUUUUGAGUAGGUACUCCAUGAAAUAUUUUAAAUUGCUGGAAGGACUUUUUGUUGUUGUGUUUUGUUUUGCUGUUAACUUUCUGGAUUCUUGGAACCUAGUCUAAAGAUCUGAAUUUCUGUGUUGUGUUCAUUAAAAAAAAAAAAAAUGAGCGAAAUAAAUCAUUCUAAGGGAGAAGGAGACAAACAGAGAGCGCUGAGAACCUAAAAUUUUAAUAACAUUUUAUGUUUACUUCGUAAACUCAGCUACAAGUCAUUUCUUACUGACAGUUAUUUUAGAGGCCAAAUAAAUAAAUGUCUUGUGCACCAUUGCUAUGAAUUUUUUUACAGAAUCCACAUUUUUUCCUCUUUAAUUGCCUUGGUUUUCUGGGUUCUCUUUCUGGGCAUGACACACACAGCCCCUCCCCCCCAUCAUGAUGUCUCAAGGCAGAAAUAGAGAAUUUGUAUAAACUGAAAGCAUUCGCGAUUGAGGAGUUAGGGGAAAAGAAGGAAAUCACUAAAGGUCUUGCCUCAUCCUGUAACAGAGGAGUACAAGUCCCCCUUAUUCCUGGCCUUCUGUGGGGCACUCAUGGCCCAUGGAAGCCGCUUGAGAAUAAAUUUAUUCCGUCACCAGGCAUGAAGUCGGAUCUUGCCCUCAAACAAAAUAGGAUUUAACCCAUUUUUGUUUUUUUUAAAUCCCUUUCUGAAUUUCUAAUUUUUUUUGUUGUUGUUUAAAAAAAAUUGUUUUCAUUCAUUCAGUUAUUGUUUUUAUUUUGAUUUGAGCUCAAACGUAAAUUUAGCCCCUGGUGCAUGCGAACUUCCUGAAGAACAAGGAAAAGCAUGGCUCGUUCUUGAGUGGUAUGUUCAGUAAAAGAAGUUAGGAUCUGGAGAGAUCUUAUAUUUGAAAGGAUCUGUAAUAUUUCUUGAAAGGAGGCUUUAAGGUUUGUAAAACUUUGUUUUAAGCUGGUUUGGGGUCAGUUUUAGCCAACCCAGGCACAUUCAUUGUGUCUAAACCUCUUCUGUUUCUUUCUUCUUAUGCAUUUAGUAUCUGAUUUUAUGAGCAUCAACCAAUGUGCAGGAUUCAGCUCAGCUCUAAUGAGAAGACAAAGGUCAUGAAGACAUAGUCAUAACCACCCGGAGUUUACAAUCUAAUAAGAAAAGGGACUGCUAAAAUCUAACAGACUGAAAAUCAUAGUGAGUGGAAAGGAGAACUGGCAUACUUAAGAAAGAAGUUCAAGGGGAAAAUAUGAUCAGUUUCGAAAUGAAAACUGCUUGAGAAUCAAAAAGAACAGAAUCAACAUUGAAAAAUGAUGAGAGAUGUGGAGGGUAGGCAUGAGAAAAACCACACAGAAGACAGUGGAAAAAUACAAAAGCAAUCAAAGAAAUUAACUAGGAACUCACAGAUGUGGAGACCCAACACAGGAAUGAUGUGUGUACUGGAAGAUGAAAAACUAGAAUGAGCUGGCACUAAAUGAUGCAUCAACAUCUUGUAAACAUACUAUUUUCUAAAAUAAAAUGAACAAAUGGCAGAGGAAUGCAUGCAGAUUUUUAUUAUUUAUGUAAAGCUUAAAAACAUUUCAACAUUUCUAUGUAACACGCUGUGAGAAUAUAAAGCAAUGGGUGAGAAUGGUAAACUCCUAACUCAGGAGAGGGGCUACUUCAAGGACUGGAGGCAUGGAAUUUAGAAUGUAUUCAGUGAGUUUCACCUGUGUUGGUUAUGUUUGAUUUUUUUAAGGUAAGGUAGUGAGAGGAUGGGUUUUCAUUGCAUUAUUACUUGCAGUUCUUGGUUUUGUGCUGGUGAGGACAGGCCUUCUCAUACCUUAUAAAUGGAAGUCUGAAUUCUAUUAAAUUAUUUCAGGAGCUUAUUGGGCAUUUAAAAACUUUAUACUCAGGAAUUCCUUUAUUUGGAUAUUUUUCUUCUAUUAUAUCCUAAAAUUUUAUAUCAUGAAGUAUUUAAUGUAUACAACAAGGUUUAAAGGAAACCUUUGAAGUUCUUAUCUUUGUUGUAUUAAAUUUAUGUUCUGAUUUGGAAGGAUUAACAUUUUGGUGAUAUUAAAUCUUUCCAUCUAGGACAAUUUUAUUUUUACAUUCAUUCAUAUCUUGCUUCUUUACAUAUUCUUCUCAUGUUAUUUUCUUGUUAAAUAUAUUUCUAGAUAUGUUUAUACUCUAUAUCUCUACUGUAUAUGUGAUAAUUAUGUAUGUCUAACUCCGUAAUAUAAUAUAAAUGCUUUGCCAAGUUUUCCCAUUAGUCUUUUUUUUUAAAAAGAUAUUUAUUUAUUUGAGAGAGAAAGAGAGCACGAGCAGGGGGAGGGGCAGAGGGAGAGGCAGAGAAUCUCCAGCAGACUCCCCGCUGCAGAGCCUGCUGUGGGGCUCCAUCUCAUAACCCUGAGAUCAUGACCUGAGCCGAAACCAAGAGUCAGAUGUUCAACCAACUGAGCCACCCAGGUGCCCCAAGUUUGCCUAUUAGUCUUAAUAAUUUUUAGUUAUAUGUCUUGGGAUUUUUAAACAUAAAAUAUAAAAUUUACAAAUAAACAUAAUUUAUCUUUAUACACACGAUUGUUUUCUUGCCUUAUUGCAUUAUUUAAAUCACCCAAAAUAAUUUUGGGGAAAACUUAUAAUGAUGAAAGGAAUUCCGGAUCUGAUUCUGAUUUUAAUGGCAAUGACUUUAAAAUUUUCACCAUUUAUAAAAUAUUUGUUUUUUUAUUAAAAGUUCCUUAAUAUAUUUAGUUAUAUUUCUUAAGAGAAAUAUAAGACAAAAAUAUGAAUGAAUAUAUUUAGAUAAAUGAAAGAUGAUAAUGUGUUCUUAUUUUAUUCAGAGUUUUUAUUAGGAAUUUUUUGUGAUAUUUAUAUAAAUAUAUUUCUGCAUCUAUAGAUAUUGUAUUUUUCUUUUAAAUUGUUACCAUAAGGGGUGCCUGGGUGGCUCAGUCGUUAAGCGUCUGCCUUCAGCUCGGGUCAUGAUCCCAGGGUCCUGGGAUCGAGCCCUGCAUCGGGCUCACUGCUCGGCGGGAAGCCUGCUUAUCUCUAUCCCUCUCCCACUCCCCUUACUUGUGUUCCCUCUCUCACUGUGUCUCUCUCUGUCAAAUAAAUAAAAUCUUUAAAAUAAAUAAAUAAAUUGUCACCAUAAUAAUUAUAAUUUUCUAAAAUAUAUCUACAUGAUCAUGCUAUAUUAUUCUUUUGUGACUGGAUGUAUUCAACAUACUAAUAUUUUGAGAACAUUUGCUUUUAUAAGAAAUUUUUUUUCUUUUUAAAAUUAUUAACUUGGGUAGUCUUAUGUUAGCUUAGUAGACCAUCUUGGUAAUUUUAAAUCAUUUUUGGGAGUCCAGAAUAUUUUGAAUAAGAUAAAUAAAAUAGGAAUUGCAAAUAUUCCUUCAACAUUCAAAUUUAUUUGGUACCUGAGUUCAGAAAGCAAAAGUUCAGAAGAGAUACCACAAAAACUGAUCAUAUUUGGUCUCUGAGGUUUGGAUGGUGAGUGGCAAGAGUUCAGAAACCAAAGGAUCUGUUGAAAUUUUCUGAAUAAUAUUCAGCUCCUAAGUUGUAUAGUGAGAAUUGAAAUAGAGAGGAAUACUAUCUAAAUUUUUAUUUGUUAUUUUGAAGGUUAAAUCUGCAGUAAAACUAACUCAGCCUAGACCCUUUCUAUUAGUAGGUCAUUCAUGAUAUUCCAAUUUCUUCUUUGGUAAAGAUAUUCCAAUUCUUACUCUACAGAGUAAAGAAGAGAGGAAGAAUGUUAAUUUUUUUUUUACAUUGUCUUUUUUGUACUAUUUACAUUCUCUAUAUCCUUGCUUGUUUGUGUCUGCUUGAUCCAUCAAGUAAUGCAAAAUUCCCCACUAUGACUGUGAUUUUUUUUGAUGGUUAUACCUCCUUGUCAGAGUUUUGUUUUAUGUGUUUUGCUGUUGUAGUUUGUGAUGUACAGGAGUUCAUUAGCUGUACUUAUAGAUGUCAUAAUAUGCCACUUUUCCCUGCUUAAUGGUCUGAAUCUUGAAUUUUUCCUAACUAAUUCUGAGUCUGCCAUUCCUGCUUUCUGUUUGCAUACAUUUGUCUGGUGUAAUUUUCCACAUGCCUUACUUUCAAACUUUCUUUGUCGUUCUGUUUUAGGUGUGUUUCUUGAAUACAGCUUUGAGCUGGUGUAUCCAUUAGGAUAAUUUGAGUUGCAAAUAAUGCUCACUGGCUUAAAAAAAAAAUGCUCUUCUAAAGUUGCAGGAUAGGUUUCGUUUCAAGCAUGGCUUGUUUUAGUGUUGCUGCUUGAUUUCUCUCAGGUCUUUCAACUCUGUGUUCCUUUGUGUGUUGGACCGCUUCUCUCAUGGGAGCAAUAUGGGCACAGAGGUCCCAGGCCUCCCAUGUGUUUCUACCUCACAGUCCAGAAAAAGAGAGAGCUCCUCUUCUGAAAACCUUGAAAACUCUUGAAUUACAUGCCAACCCACCCCCGCCCUAAAAAAAAUCAUGUGACUGGUGCUGUGCAAUUCCCCAUUGACUCUGGACCAGUGUUACUCAUCUUUGAACCAAUUGCUUUGGUGAAAAGAUUGGUAUUAUGAUAAAUGGUCAGUUUGGGUAAAUUAAGGGUCAAGCCUAAAACUGAAGUUUGAGAUUCAUUCCAGCCAAUGGAUGUGUCAUUAUUCAAGAGAACAGAGUAAGGAAUAUAAGUAUUGUGAAGAAGUUAGUUAGCACAAUUCUCACUACUAGAUAAUAAUAUAAUUCUCUAUCUUCAAAAACCAAAUGAAUCAAAUGAGAAAGCACACCAGAAAUAAUUAAAAAUAAUAAGUAAGGUUCUUGUUACAAUAUUAAUAUUAAUAAUGGGGAAAAUCACUAGUUUUCCUAUUACAAUAACUGAUUAGAAAAUAUAACUGAAAAAAAUAAUUCAUUUAUAAAAAGUAUAAAAUAUAUUAGAACAAGUUGAUUAAGAAACAUAUAGUAUUUAUAUGAAAACAUGAACUUUAACUGAGAGAUUUAAGAUGUUCUUAGCUGGGAAACCUCAAUAUUAUAAAGAUAUCAAUUUGUUUAAAAAUACUCUCUGAAAUUAUUGCAAUCCUAAUGAAAAUCACAAUGGGGUUUCUCUCCUUGGGUGUGUAUUUGGGAAGGGAGGUUUGGUAAUUUAGAAAAAAUAUUUUAAAAUCUAUCUGAUAAAAUUAUGCAUGCUAGGCUAGUCAAAAAAAAUAAAACAAACAAACAAACAAAAAACAAGCUAAAGGUGUAAUGGGCCUAUGUGGAAGGAGGAAGCCUUUUCUCAGCAGAAAUGGAGACAUAAUAUAAAGCUACAGCAAUUAAAAACAAUGAAGUACUGGUGCAAAAAUAAAUAACAAUAGAACAGAAUAGAAAAUCCCAGAAAAACCCAAAGUAAUAUAAAGUUGGUUUAGCACAUUAGUGGAAUGUGUGUGUGUUUAUGUGUAUAAAAUUCAAGAGAGGACAUGAAUUAUUCAAUAUACCAAAUAAGUGAUUUGGGGAAAAAGUGAGCCAAAUCCUUAUCUCACAGCUCAUACUAAAGUCAAUACCAGGUAGAAUUUAGCUAUAACUUAAAGUAGAAUAGAACUUUUUAAGAAUGACGGGAAAAGCAAUCAAGAAAUAUGACUAUGUAAAUAUUUAAAACUUCUUAUAUGUGAAAACAAACAUAUUAGCAAACAGUUCUUUCCCUCCUGCUAAGGAAACUACAAAUUCUGAACAAAAUUUUAAGAGGAAAACAAAAUAUCUAAGUCAACAGAGAGCUAUCAAGUCUAGGAAAAACCCAGAGAAGUUAAGCUUUGCAUUUGGUGCUGCUUUUUCCCUAGAGGCAUCUGCCAAUUUUGGAAGUCAGAAGGGAGACAGAGAAGGUGAGCUGAGCCUUUGAAAGACUUGCUGGAUUUAGGGAAGGGGGAGGAGGCCAAUGCUGCCAAGGAAGGAAGUAUUGGUAAGUUCACAAGUUUUAGGCUGGGACUCCAAACUAAAGGGCUACAAUCCAUGAAUAAGAGUGGGCCUGAAAUAGAUGUUCACCAGAAGGGACAGAAGCCCAGCUUCUAAUCAUAUCAUUUUGUGAUUGAAUUAAGAUAAUUUAGGGUUCCUAGUAUUCCUAGCCACUUGUCAAGCAAACAAAACCCUCUCUGAAGAGAGGUUACAUCUUAGUCUCAAAUUAUCUAUGCCAUUUUUCAUACGCAAUAUCUGACACUUGAUCAAGAAAAAACAGACACAUAAGGAAUCAAGAUAGUGUAGUGGAAAAUCAAAAGAAGCAACAGACAGUAUAAGAAACCCAUCAGGAAUCUUGAAAAUGGAGUUUUCAUACAUGGAUUUUUAAAAUAAGUAUGAUUAAUAUAUGAAAGAUAAUAAAACAUGAGAUUUAUAAUGUUAAUAGAUAAUAGUAAACUAUGAAAAGAUACAAAACAGAAAUUCUAGAACAGAAAGAAAUAUCUAAUGAAUCAGUAACCCAACUCGACAGGUUUCACAUGAGGCUAGACACAUUGAAGAAGAAAUUAAUGAACUGGAAGAUAAAUAUGAAAAAUAUACAGAAUAAAUCACAUAAAUAUGAAAAGAUUAAAACACACACACACACAGCGACACAGAGGACAAUGUAAGAGACAUACGGGGACUAGUGAAAAGUUCUAACCUAUCUGUUAACAGAGUCCACAAAAGGAAAAGAGAAAGAUAUUAAGGGAGACACAAUGUUUGAAGAGACAAUGGAUGAUAAUUUUCUUAAAAAAAAAAAAUCUAUGAACCCAUGCUGGAUAAAUAACACAUUCUCCAAUAAACACCAAGGGAAAUCUUGCACCCAUGGAUCCAUACAAAAGAAAAUACUAACGUGUACUAUUCUGGGACAAGAAAAUUAUUCCAGAUGAAAACUUAAAGAUAUAGGACAGAUUUAAGAGCCUCAGAAAUGAUAAAUAUUUAAUGUUAAUAUAAAACUGUAAUAAUAAUAUCUUGUAGGGCUAAAUGUAUUACUAAUAACAUGUUAGUAUAAAAACAUUUAAAGGGUUCUAAGUUUCUUGCAUUGCCUGGGAAGAGGUAAAUAUCCUCAUUUAACUUAGACUACAAUAAGUCUUCUAUACGUGUUGUAAUCUCUAGUGUAACAAAUCAUAGUAAGAGAAUGCAUAGCUACCAAGUUAAUAGGAGGAAAUAGAAUUAUAAAAAACAAUCAACCAAAAGAAAGGAAAGAAAAAGAAUACAGAGCAAUUAGUGCAGAUAAAAAGCAGAUGGCAAAAUGGUAGAACUAAACCCAAUCAUAUCAAUAAUUACAUUAAAUAUAAAUUAACUAAAUAUUGCGAUUAAAAGACCAAUAUCCUCAGACUGGAUUUUUUUUUUUUUUAAAGCAAGAAACAACUAUAUGUUAUUUAUGAGAAACACCUAAAAUAUACAGAAGAGGUUGAAGCUGCAAGGAUGGAAAAGUUAUAUCGUAGAAAAAAAUAACCAAGAGAAAACUAUUAUCACUAUAUUAUUAAGAAUAGGCCUAUGAAAAGUGGAGAAGAAAAAGUUGUCAGAGGAGGUGGAGAGAGAGAGAGACCAGGCAAACACUGUAAGCAAUGUUUUCAAAGUAGCUUUCCUUUCUACCGAAGGCAACAGGAAGGGUGGUGUGAAAGGGCUGGUGAAUGUGGAGCAUGUGUGCUAGAAACAAGGGGAGAGAACAUAGGAUUGGAAAGAUCAGCCCAGAUUAGGGGAAAAACCUGCAUAGUACAUUCAGUGGAUUUUAUAUGUCAUAGAAUUGGUCAUGGCUUUAAUCAAUGAGAAGCUGUUAUAUCUGUAGUUAGUGGUACUGAAAAAUAAAAAUUUAAAACUUGUCACUAUCAACCCCUUUAACAGCCUUUAGUUUAUUGGAAUAAGUCUAUUAUCUACUAUAAAUUUUAAAGUCUCCUUCAUCCACCACAGAUAGCAUGGUGGUGGUGGUUAUGAACUCCGGCUUUGUAGAAUUUGCCUGUGUUGAAUUCUGUCUUCACAUUCUGCAUCCACUUCUCCAUUGUAUGACCAUGGGCAGAGACUCUUAAUCUCUCUCUCUUUUUAAAUAUAAAAUGAAAAUAAUAGCACAUAACUAAUAGACUUGUGAGAAUUAAAUGAGUAAUGCACAUGAAAUAUGAGAACAGUGACUGGAGCAUAGUAAGUACUCAACAAAUAGAUAUUAUUUUUAAGAUUAUAAUUAUGACUUUUGUUUCAGAUAUUGUUUUGGUAUCUCAAUUAAAUGCUGAUGAGGUAAGCCUAAGGAUAAUAAGUCUAGUCUUUUUUUCUGGUCUUGCUCUGUCCUCAACUCUGAACCAGGAACUUAUUACUGUGUCAUGGGUCUGGUCUUUCCUGCCUGAAAUUGGCAAAAAACGAAGAAUUGAGUCCUUCUUUGUUCAGGUCCUCUGGCUGAAACUGGGAAUAUUCUCCAGUAAGACAGGGCUGUACCCUUGAAGGAGCUCACAAACAUGUGAAUAAAGGAUUUGCACGCAGUGGGAUAUGACUAAUAGGAAGAAGGGUGUAUCUCAGCACGUAGGAUGAAGAAUGUGCUUUGGAAGCAGAGAAGGAGGAUAUUUUCUGGCUGAGGAAGAAGAGGAAGGCUUCGUAAUAGACCUGGAGGGAGAGGCAGGAGAGGCUAUUCUAGGCACAGAGAAUAGCAGGCAUACAGAGGCAGGAUGGCAUGAAAGUACAAGGCAUACUUGGGGAAUAAUGGCUCAUUGCCCACUGUCCCAGGUAUGACAGAUGAACAGAAAGGAACAGCAUUUGCGAAGGCUGGAGAAGUAGACCAGAGUUGGGUUGUAACUGCUUUUCUAUGAAAUUUAGAAGGCUUCCGAAUUAUUUCAGAGGCAAAUCUUUUAUAGCAAGCCUUCAAAUAAAGUCAUACUUAAGGUAUAGUUGUGCUUUCUAGUUUAUAAAAGAAAUUCCAGUAUGAGUGUUCCCUAAAUGGCCAAAUAAGUAUUGAUAGGAAUUUAGGAGUUAAUAAAAUAAAAUCAUUCUUUCCUAAACUAAGUUAUCUAUAUUAUGACCAACUAAAUGUGAACUUAUACGAGACCAGUGCUCUAACCCCGGAGCUACAGAGCCUAAAUGUGAACUUAUACUUGCUGAAUUGUUUAGUAAUGGUUAUGCAAGCUAUGACAAUAAUCACAGUGGUAAAGGCAAUAGCAUGCGUACUCAGAGCGGUACCGUCUUACACUUAUAGAAAGCGUUUUAUGUGCCAGGAACUACCAUGCAAUCUCUUAAUUCAUUAGUGUAUUGAAUGUAUAAUCCUCAUAGCACCUCUCUGAGGCAAAGCUAUUAUUAUGAAUAUCAGAAAACAUAUUGUAAAUGAGGAAAAACACUAGGCCAAUGAUAAUGACAGGCUGUGCUGCGUAUGUGUACGCUGGGCUUCUUCUGCCUCUUAUUUUCCUUACAUGUUCAUCUUUUCUCUAGUUUUAUGCUAUAGGCUGGAGGGAGGGACAAGAGGAGAGAGAGAGAGAAACAGGAAAGGGGAAGAUCUUUAGGAAAUUGUUAUUCCUAAUGAAUUGCAGUUUGAGUUCUGUUUUUGUUUUUAAAACUCUAUUUAGAGAGAAAAAAAUAAAGACAAUUCUAUCAUGUAAAAAUAUUAUUCCAUCUUGCUGAUUUUGUGGAGGUUGAGACUGGUGGGUGCUGAAUUAGAGAUUCUGGAGGAUAUGCUGGGUUUCAAGAAGGCUGAGAGUUUGUCUUCUGUUUCUGCCUGUCAGACUCAACUGUAAGCCUCAAAAUAGAAUAUCAUUCCCUCCCACUCAUUACAUUUGCACAAGAUCAGUACCAACUCAAGAGAGUCACUAACUUUGCACCUAGGAAUAUUUACCUGGUUGUGGGAAAGAUAGGAUAAGCAGUUGAGACUCUCAAAGAACCAUCAGGAAGAUGUCAAUGGACAGCCCCUUAAGACUGGAAUUAAUUCCACAGGGCAAUUACGAUGGAAUUAUCAAUUUAAAAAUUUAAAGCCUGGAUUGAGAUUCGAAAAUUUUGAAAAGUAAACAAAAACAAAAACCCUUGCAGCAGCACGGAUCUGCUUAAAGUUCUUUUCAAUCCCUGACAACUGUGGGUCUAAGAUUUUCACAAAAUGAGAGGAAAGAAAUUAUGUGUAAUUUUCACAUCGGAACUAGUCUUUUUUUUGCCCACUCCCUUCCAAAUUUCGGCUACUUAGCAUGUCGGCCAAAUCCUACAGUGAACGUCACUUUAAGAACAAUCUGGAUGCGAAAACCACAGUGCCCCGCUUCUUUAUACACGAACAAAUCCAGAAUAAUCAGAGGAAGCAUAAAACAGAUUACGUUUUACCUAAAGUGGAAUUUAAGACAUGCCACAAGUAAUUGAUUCUCUUUCUAGGGUAAUUUAAGAACAAAGACUUGACUUUUUUUUUUUUUUUUUUUUUUAAAUUUACUUACUUGAGAGAAAGAGAGAGAGCAUCAGUAGGGGGAGAGGCAGAGAGAGAAGCAGACUCCCCGCUAAGCUGGGAGCCGAGGCGGGGAUCGAUCCCAGGACCCUGAAAUUAUGACCUGAGCCAAAGUCAGAUGCUUAAUGACCGAGCCACCCAGGCACCCCUAUUUGACUUCUUAAACAUAAUAGCAAGUCACUAUUCUGCAAAGCCAGAACAGUGAUGGUAUUUUCUGAUUUAACCGAUCUAUUGUUUUCUAUUUGCCACCUUUGUACUGCUUCCUCUAUUUUAGUAUCUGUCGCUCUUUCUUGAGAUUCUUAGUUUAUAUGCCUAUCUCCACUAUUUUGAGUUCCUCGAGAUCAGACAUCUCUUCUUAUUUACUCUUAUAAAAGGUAUUCUCAAUAUUUGCCACUGUAUCGUGCAUGGUAGGCAGUCAACCAAUGCUUAUUGAAUUCAUGAAUGAAUGCAUGCAUGCCAUGGUAAAAGCAAUACAUUAAUUAAUAGCCAUUAAUAGUUAGAAGUCCUAGAUUCUGAGUCCUGCCACUAAGUUCCUUUGAACUGUUGAUGUAAUGUUUCUUCACUUAUAAAAGAUGAUUUUGAAAAUUUCGUCCAGCAAACCUUUAUUUCUAUAACAAGAGAUUCAUAGCAUUUUUAUAAAGUGUGAAGUGUGAAGCCUAUAUUAUCAAUGAAAAAUUCAAGUUUUGACAUCUGACCACCAGCUUUGGGAAACCAGGCUACCAUGUACUCUUUUAUCUCACUUUGCCAAAAAUUUCAAUUAUACUCUCUUCUGGUUCGUUUUGUCUCUUUUCCACUGAUUCAUAUGGGGAGAAAAGGAGUGAGUAAAACAGUCAUAGUAUUGAGGAUAUUUGAGGUCAGAGAACUUCGUUUGUAGUGCUGGCUGCUAGGGUCUUCAUUUCUCUGACCUUGAUUUCAAUGCCAGCCUAAAAUAGCAACUCAGACCCUUACGUGUGUUAUAAUUCUACUACAGCUUACGACAGUGAGGAGAAAAACAGUGGAAGAAGAGAAAUCAGGCUGGAUUUUCUGAGAAGAUUUUGAACCAUACGUUGGUCUUUGGGUAACAUCUAUCUACUUAUUUUUAAAAUCAUCUAGAGCCUUGCAACUGUGUACAGCCCAUAUUUCCUCUAGAAAUUUUCCAUGCUUUUGAAAAGCUUACAUAAUUGCUUAUGUGGCAAUUGCAAAAUCAUCCCCUGACAUGAACAUAAACCAGAGAAGUGUCCUGCUCACAAUUUCAGGCUCUCCCUCCUGCAGAGAGGGAAGGGGGGUGGAGAGGGAGAUUGGCAGGAAGAUAGGAAGAGGGAGGAGUUUGUGUAAUGAGUGGGAAAAUCACUGAAGAGUUUGUAAACAGUUGCAGUGCAUGGAGGCAACUACAUCUGAGACUGUGGGAAAAAAAAUUACCAUAAGCCCGAUCAUUUGCCCUCAUUUCAGCAGAGACGGAGAUUGUCCAUUUUGUGUUUUGUCCUAUGUUUUGGAGAUGGAUGUCAAAGUAAAAACAAUGAGAUGCUCACAGUAUUUGCUUUCCUAGUUUGUCAAUUGAAAAUCAACUACCCAGAAAAGUGGGAAGUGUACCACAGAUGAGUUUGUGAAGAUCCUCUCUUAGCUAUCAUUUCAGAGAGUUUUUUCCUCUGUCAUUGUAAGAGAGCAAUGAAGGACUCAGUGAGAGAUCUGUUACCAGAAAUCAGUCUCUGAUUUGGGGGGAGAGUUGGUGGUUUAUGAUCUAAAACCCAAGCCAGAGAGAUUUUCCUAAAUCAUUGAAAGCAAGUUGGUGCAGGAGAAGAUAUUAAGCUGUUAGGGGGUUUCAAAGCCAGCUCUUUGAUGUUUCCCUAGAAAGUCUUGAAGCUGGAAAAGGAGAAGCCUCUAAAUCCCAGCCCUUGUGUGUGUGUGUGUGUGUGUGUGUAUUUGUUAAGCAAUUACACAAACAAAAAGAUAAACGCAUUCCCCUUCUCUCUCCUCCCUCCUGGAUAUCCAACCCCCCCACCCCCACCCCAGGCCAUCUUCUGUGCAACCUCACUUCUGCAGGUCCCUGGCAGCUUGGCCUGUGUCAGACAAUAGAUAUGCAAGAUAACAACAGGGCAGUCGUUCUGAGGCCUUGGUCUUUAUCAGGAUUAACUGUUACAUCAAUAAGCAAAACAGGGAGGCAGGGUUUUUCCAUCCCUGGCCUUUGCUGUUCCUGGGUACCAGAUGGCAUUUAUAGCCAUGAAAACAAAAUGCUGCAAGUUAGAAUGUUGACUAGGAACUCUUCCACUUGAUCACACUGUCUGGGGCUCACUUUGAUGUACAAAACCCUCCUACGAUAAUGAAAUGCGUUGGCAGCUGGCUAAUGGCUGGGAAAGUGCAAACCCUGCGCUGAACUCUUCCCGAGACUAUUCAAUGGCAAGGUGGUGUCAGGCCCGGAGCUGGAGAAGGAGCAAAGAGGCUCGUUGCCAGGCAGGCCCGGGACUCUGGGGCAAGCAGCUGAGGAGAGACUGGUAUUUUUCCCCCUUCAGUACAAGCGGUCUGUGCCUGCAGCAAAUGAGCAAUAAAUCCAUCAAGGCCAAGCUCAGGCUUAUUUUGAACUGGCUGCUGGAAUUUGUAGAAGAGCCUCUCACACACAGGUAAACAAAGACCGGCUACCCGAGCGCAGGUGAUCUGAGAGUUGUUAGUUUUCCCUCGUGCCCACGGAGGACCUGGCCCUCAUCUGUAUGCAAGGGGAAAACAAAAGAAAGUCUUAUGAGUUACAUUUGACUUUGCCGCUGCAAAUCCUCUCACUGGCCUGAUUCAAGGGAAAGUAGAGCGCGCAUAAUUGGGGAGGGGGGCGUUUUCUCACCCUUCUGUCCCUCGAUGCUACAGCCCACUCCAUGGAGGCACCGCCUGGGUACCGGCCCCUGUGGGAAGGCCCCUGUGCCCCCGUCCCCUUCCGCCCCACAGCCCCACCCCAAUCCCAACUGACUUGCUGGCCCCCGAAGGUUCUUCCAGCACCUGGACUCCCCCCAUUCUAAGCAGACACUCUCCUCCGAUUCUCUAGUUCGCUCUUAUCUCUGUGGUUAGUUAGAAUGUGAGCUUAGGGGGCGCCUGGGUGGCUCAGUCGGUUGAGCGACUGCCUUCGGCUCAGGUCGUGAUCCUGGAGUCCCGGGAUCGAGUCCCGCAUCGGGCUCCCUGCUCGGCGGGGAGUCUGCUUCUCCCUCUGACCCUCCUCCCUCUCAUGCUCGCUGUCUCUCAUUCUCUCUCUCACAAAUAAAUAAAAUCUUAAAAAAAAAAAAAAAAAAAAAGACUCUCUCUCUCUGCGGGGCACCUGGGUGGCUCAGUUGGUUAAGCGACUGCCUUCGGCUCAGGUCGUGAUCCUGGAGUCCCGGGAUCGAGUCCCGCAUCGGGCUCCCUGCUCAGCAGGGAGUCUGCUUCUCCCUCUGACCCUCCUCCCUCUCAUGCUCGCUGUCUCUCAUUCUCUCUCUCACAAAUAAAUAAAAUCUUAAAAAAAAAAAAAAAAAAGACUCUCUCUCUCUGCGGGGCACCUGGGUGGCUCAGUUGGUUAAGCGACUGCCUUCGGCUCAGGUCAUGAUCCUGGAGUCCCGGGAUCGAGUCCCGCAUCGGGCUCCCUCCUCGGCGGGGAGCCUGCUUCUCCCUCUGACCCUCCCCCCUCUCAUGUGCUCUCUGUC